UCUUUCUGGAAUUUGCUUUUUUGUGGAGUUCUUGUGGUGAGAAUCAACAUUGGCCCAUCUUGACUGAAGGCCUCAGAGCUGGUCCAUACCUCAAUGACUGGCAUACCCAAGUAUGUACAAUCCAAAGAGAUGAAAUUUUCCCUGAGCAAUCAAAUUUGGGACAUAGAUACCCUCAGAAACCCUUACUCACCAGCUUCUGGAAGAAUCACAGAAUGUCUUGGGAUGGAAGAGACCACAAGGACUGUCAAGUUCCAAUCCCUCUGCCACAGGCUGAACAAGCCCAUUUCCUUCAGCCUGUCUUCAUAGGAGAGGUACUUCAACCAUUGAAUCAUCUUUGUGGCCCUCCUCUGGACCCUCUCCAGAAGAUCCAUCUCCUUCCUGUGUUGGAGAACCCAGACUUGGAUGCAAAAUGUUUAAAUGUUUCCGCUUUUAUUAUUCUUUUUAAAACUGCUUAAUAUACUUGCAAUCGUGAUUAGUAGGUAGAGUUUCUUUACACGUUCUGUGAAGUCUAUCUUCUGAGUGAUUUUAACAGUAAAGGACUAAACCAAUCUGGAAAAAAAAAAUGAUUUUGAAACAGAAAAGACAAAAGGAACUGUAUAUCACUCUCCUGUGAUCUCUGAUCAAAACAGAAUCUUGCUGAAUGACUUCAAAGAACAACAGGGCAAGGCAGAGGCCUUGACAACUGAGCUUUCCAAAACAAUCCAGCCAAUCCAGUCUCUCCUACUUCAUUAUUAAUUUUUCAAGAGUACUUAAGUGUUUUUCUUGGUAUAAUCACACAAUUACAUUCACCCUAAUGUUAGGACUGGCUCAAAGCAAAUUGUCAAAAAAAUGGCUAAGUUAUUACCUUUCAUGUCUAUCAAUAUUUGGUUGAAAAUGUAUACUGUUUGUGCUUUAGCAUAGCCCAGGAAAGCACAAGGGUUGUUCUCAGCUGAAGCACAUUUUAGAGGCCCUGUCACAUUGAUGAAUGUCACUGCAAUUGGGCUUUUAUAUUGGCUACUUUGGAGCCUUAUCAAAGCACUUGCUUGUUAGGAUUGCUACUAGGGUACUGAUUACCUGAAAUAGCCUCCAUUGCUAACAAUUCAGUCUUUUACUUUGGGUGAAAAUAUCUAAAUCAUAAAUCACCAUGACCUUAAAUUGGAAUGAACAUAAUGGUAGCUGCUACUUCCUAUUCAUAACUUACAUUCCUCUGAGGCAUCGUUCCCUUUAUGGUACAGGACUAAGAAUCACAAAUUUUGGUGUGUUGUCAGAUGUUUAAUGCAUGAACACUGUAUUUCUAGCUUUUUCUUCUGCUACUUGUGUAUUGCAAGAAAUGCAUAUCUGCACCAGAAUUUACUGAAUCGAUUACACUCAAACUGCAAAAUUAUCCUUUAGGUGAAAAACAUGCUGCCAUUUAUAACCAGGCAUCUGCAUUCCAUAUUUGUUUAAAUCAAACAUCAAUUUAGAUUAACAAAAUUAGCAGUUCUACAGUCUCACAGGUCAUUAGGAAACCUUUUCAGAUUCCAAAUAAUCGGACACUGCAAUGGUAACAUUACUUACAGUUGUAUGUUGGCUACUUAACUACUAUAAAAUCAAACUUUUUUUUGUUUUUGAAGUGACUGACCAUGAAGAAUUAACUUAGACUUUUUGAACUGUAAAUUAUGUAGAUACCCAUCUGGGCAUUCUUUGUGCUGAUAGAGCAAUUUGUCACAAAGUGGAAGGAAGUGUAGUCAUUAGUUAAUAAGAUUUUAAAUGUUACUGUGUUUCUGCUCAGCUCUUCACCUUGGAAGAAGGACAGAUUUUGUGCUAAAUGAGAAUAGAAGCACAGUAUCCAUUUCGAUUAAACAUUACCUUCACAUGAGACAAAACUGUGCUGUCAGGCAGCACUGUUACAGCACAGUGAGAUGAGAGCUGUUAAACCUACAGAUUAAAUGCAGACAGUAACAUAGCCAGCAAUGUGGUAGGCUGCACUCAGCACUACAGAGCUUGCACAGUGCUUCCACUAUAGAGAAAAAAAUGUAGCUCUGAGAUAUCACUGUAAUUUGGCCAUCCUUCCUUGGCUGCUGCACCAAAAGGGUGGAAGUACAGCUCCCUCUGCAGCCCAGCAUGUUUUCUU